CCGUUUAGGAAUAAAACUAAGAAGCGAUAGCAUUAGCCUACAGUCAAAUGCUUCGGUUAUCUGACAGACUGGUGGGCUUGUUAGCUAUGUUGAUAAAAUACCAAACGGCUAUAUUUCAUGUGCGUACAUUAAUAUACGAACAUGAAACACAAGAAUUUUUAACAAUUUUCUAAUAUAUAAGUCGCAUUUAUGGCUGUUCGUCUAAGAAGUUCACUUUGCAACCGCGAGGUUUAGGACUUAUUUCCAGUGCGUAGCAUAUUGGAUAAGAGUUUUCUACUAAAGCCCCGGGUUGACCAAUGCCUUGUGAAUGAAUUUGGUGGACGAAACUUUACUCACCGUCGUAUUUGUGUGUGCGCUUGUGCUCCCUCCACUGUACUCUUUCUAAAAGGCCGAGAGACAACAUUAUGGUUCCCAAUAUUCUCUCGAUAUAUGUGUAAGAAUAGAAAUGUAAGCAUUGUGUGAAAUGACCAAGCUAUCUACCUGGAAAUCUAAGCCGAGAAUCUUCAGAGGCUGUGAGAAACCAUCAUAAGAGAUGCAAAACUAUGUGUUCAGCUUACUCAUUCUCGGAUAAAGAACUCAGGCAAUUUCCAGAUUCGAUUCCUCCGGAUGACUUCCUGAACAAGUUUCAUUGAGUUCAAUUUGUUAGAAGAAAACUUCGCAGAGGCCUCCGUUGACUACCACUACUACGAAUACUGCUGCUGAUGUUACUAUAACUCCUUCUGAUGCUACUACAACAACUAUUACUGCUUUUGCUACUACCACUACUACUACUUUAAUUCCAAUGUCUACUACUACUACUACUAUUACUACUACUACUACUACUACUACUACUACUACUACUACUACUAUUACUACUACUACUACUACUACUACUACUACUACUACUACAAUUACUAAUCCUACUACUGCCUCUACUACUACUAUUAUUAAUGCUACUACAGCAACUGUUAUUGCAAUUAUUAAAUAUACUGUGAACAACUACGAGGCUUUCUCUUUAUUUCUUAGUAAAAAGUUCGACGGUAUAUGGCCUAGUGGUAAGACUGCUGGACUUACGAUCAUAAGGCCGUGGACUCGAUUCCAGGACUGGCCUUGUGCCUGAAUCAGAAACUAUUAAUAAGGUAAUGUUAAAGGUGGUGAGAUGGCAGAAUCGUUGGCACGCCGGAGAAAAUGCUUAGCAGCCUCUGGUCCGUCUUCACGCUCUGAGUUCACCGUUCGACUCUGCUUUUCGUCGUUUCGGGAUCGAUAAAAUAAGUACCAGUUGAGCUCUGGGGUUGAUGCAAUCGACUUACCCUCUCCCCCGAAAUUGCUGGCCUUGUGCCAAAAUUUGAAAUCAUUAUCAAGGUAAUGGUAAGGCAGCAGAAUAAUGGAUGCGAUGAAAGACCUUUCUUUCAUUAUGAAUAUACAGGUGUGUGUGUGUGUAUGUGUGUGUGUGUGUGUGUGUGUGUGUGUGUGUGUGUGUAUCUAUUCACCUAUUAGUCUGCUUACUGUUACCUGUGUUUUAUUGAACUUCUUUCUGUUCAUCUUAAUCGAUUUCCAGAAUCAAAUUCAGGAUAUU